rnacentral:rRNA from 1 species
GACGAACGCUGGCGGCGUGCUUAACACAUGCAAGUCGAACGGUAAGGCUCCAGCUUGCUGGGGUACACGAGUGGCGAACGGGUGAGUAACACGUGGGUGACCUGCCCUGCACUUUGGGAUAAGUCUGGGAAACUGGGUCUAAUACCGGAUAGGACCAUGGUGUGCAUAGUGUGGUGGGAAGAUUUUUCGGUGUGGGAUGGGCCCGCGGCCUAUCAGCGUGUUGGUGGGGUAAUGGCCUACCAAGGCGGCGACGGGUAGCCGGCCUGAGAGGGUGGACGGCCACAUUGGGACUGAGACACGGCCCAGACUCCUACGGGAGGCAGCAGUGGGGAAUAUUGCACAAUGGGCGGAAGCCUGAUGCAGCGACGCCGCGUGGGGGAUGACGGCCUUCGGGUUGUAAACUCCUUUCACCAUCGACGAAGGGUGUCUGACGGUAGAGGGAGAAGAAGCACCGGCUAACUACGUG